UAAGCAGUCCUUGACGUCACCAAGCCCCGCCCCUCUGUUGUCACAACGUCAUCGGACAAAGGCGGAAGUAUCGACGUAGCGUCAAAGUAGCUUUCCGUUUACGACAUGAAGGUGAUACACCACUCCGCGGAGACCCUGAAAACAGCAUUGGUUUCCAAUUCUAAGGACUUGGCUGAACUUUACAGUCAGUACACCAAAGAAGAACGUCGCCUUUUAGAGGAAGGACUGCAUCCAGGGCAGCCUAGUUCUCUUUUCCAGCCUGUUACUGUGCAUUCAGAUUCAGACUGGAUUCCCUCUCAUCCUGAGGAUCCUCAAGACUUUGAGAGCUUUUAUAGAAACCCUCACAGAAACGUCCUAAGUGCAAGCUGUGGCACUAUUUACAUUCAGACCAUAGGUGCUUUUGGCGAGGCCGGGCCCCAGACUGAGCAGUAUGUGGAAUGGCUUCGAGAAUACUGCCAAGCCUUCUUCUAUGGACUGCCUGUUCGUUGGUUACCAGCUGUCACAGUUGAACAAACAGGGUGCUCUUUCAGGAUUAACCAUGGCUCACAAAUCCUUCAGCUGCUUACUGGUGACUUGCUAGAAUUUUUGUGGAACCGGAAACCAAAAGAGGCUUUUUGUAUUGUUGGAAUCACAAUGAUUGACCUGUACCCAAAAGACUCCUGGAAUUUUGUAUUUGGACAAGCAUCUCUCAAUAGGGGAAUUGGUGUUUUCAGCUUUGCCAGGUACGAUGACAGCUUCUACAGCAAGAGUUAUGCAGGAAGGUUGAAGAAACAGCAUCAGCCAAAGCAGGGGGACUAUUCUGUCUUUGAUGGCCAGUACACUCCACCCAUCACCAGCACUCUCUUACUGAGAUCCUGCAAGACGAUGACACAUGAAAUCGGCCACAUGUUCGGGAUAAGGCAUUGCCAGUGGCUGAGCUGUGUGAUGCAGGGCUCCAACCACUUGGAGGAGUCAGACCGUCGGCCCCUGGAUCUCUGUCCCAUCUGCUUGCGCAAACUUCAGGUCUCAGUGGGCUUUAACAUUGCCGAGAGAUACAAGGCCUUAUUACAAUGGAUGGAAGAGGAGCCAAGAGCAACACAAGCGGAGGCCGCCUUUCCCAAACCUACUGAACCUUUUCGCACAGCCAAACUCUGGCUGCAGAGGUGCCAAGACAUAAUGCAAGUCAGUGAACGGCUUUGUCACAAAAUGCUGGAGGGAUUCACGCCGCUUCUUGCGUGCGGGAUGCUGCUUUUUGGCCUGUUUUUCCACCUGGUGUCUGAGCGGGCUGCUCAGGUUCAAAAGCCCGACAAGAAGCCCAACUUCAUUAUCAUCCUGGCUGAUGAUAUAGGAUGGGGUGACUUGGAUGUGAACAUGCCUGAACAGAGGGCCAACAAUACACCAAAUCUUGACCUGAUGGCCCAGCAAGGAUUGAGAUUCUCAGACUUCCACUCUCCGGCCUCAACCUGCUCCCCAUCCCGCGCUUCUAUCCUGACCGGACGCUACGGACUCAGAAAUGGGGUCACUCACAAUUUUGCCGUGGGCUCCGUGGGCGGUCUGCCUCUGUCUGAAGUCACCUUGCCACAACUCCUACAGCAGGCGGGUUACUAUACUGCCAUGAUCGGGAAAUGGCAUCUCGGCCAUAAUGGACCAUAUGGCCCAACAAAAAGAGGUUUUGACUACUACUUGGGUGUUCCUUACAGUAAUGAUAUGGGAUGCACUGACAUCCCUGGAUAUGAUCUUCCCCAGUGCCUCGCCUGUGGCUCAUCUGAACCUCAAAUAUUCAGAUUGAGGAGGAGCGCACACAAACACAGGAGCUGCUAUUCCAAAGUGGGCCUUCCUCUGAUUGAAAACAGCAGUAUUGCGGAGCAGCCACUCAACCUGUGGACACUUACACAACAGUACCAGUCUGCUGCGCUCAGAAUUAUGCACGAUGCGAGAGAGCGAGGACAGCCCUAUUUUCUUUACCUAGCGUUAGCGCACAUGCACGUACCCUUGGCCCCACCACUUACACCCACCACUGGCGCCACCCAUUCACCAUCUGACAGCCAAGUGUACGCUGCCAGCCUGCGAGAGUUGGAUCGCUUCGUGGGGUCGAUCAGGACUGUAUCACACACAGAGGACACGCUCAUCUGGUUCACUGGUGACAAUGGUCCUUGGGAGCAGAAGUGCCAGUAUGCAGGAAGUACAGGACCAUUCAAAGGAAAGUGGCAGACGAAAAGAGGUGGGAGUUCAGCUAAGACGACCACUUGGGAAGGGGGCCACCGGGUGCCAACCGUGGCCUACUGGCCUGGCGUGAUCCCGGCAAACUCCACCAGCUCUGCCCUGCUCAGGUGUCUUUGCUUCCUACAGCUUGGUAUGGACAUAUUCCCGACACUCCUUUCCCUGGCAGGGGUGACGCCACCCUCUGACCGGCGCUACGAUGGCAUUGACGCCACAAGUGUCCUCCUGCAUGGCGAACAGACUGGUCACAAGGUCCUCUUCCACCCUAACAGUGGCGCCGCUGGGCGAUUUGGUGACUUACAGGCGGUCCGAGCUGGGAAAUACAAAGCUUUCUACAUGACAGGUGCAGCUGAAGCAUGUGGCGGUGGAUCAGGAGCACAGGAACUCCACGAUCCACCAUUAUUAUUUGAUUUGGAGCAUGACGAGACUGAGGAAACACCCUUAAAUGUUUGGACACCUGAAUACCAAGCGACAGCUGAGAGGCUUGCUCUCUGGAGGGAGCGGUUAUUGUGGGACAUCGCCACCGACCAAUCCGUGUCUGCGGCCGACUACACAACAGACAGUUCGGCUGUGCCUUGCUGUGAACCCACACGGCCGGUUUGCCGUUGCCUCUCACUGCCCUGAUUGCAGGAAUCCUUAAAAGACAAGAACAAGGAAACAACAGAGUGCGCUUUGGGUGUGUGUUCAGAAGUUUGUUGAGACUGCUGUGCCGUUUGCAUGCACUCGCCUCCAUCCUGUGGAUCCACAUUAUAGAUGUAAAGAUACCCAUCCGAGGACGCCACCAGCAGGCGAGGCAGCUUCUGAAUCCUGUCGUCCAAAAUACCAAAAGCGGAUAUGAACAUUUCUAUAUGAUUUUUGUUUUAUCCCCUAGAAAUGUUGUUUUUCUUAUCUUACGUAGCCAGCGCGCAGAUGUUCUUCAGGCCGAACAUGUUGAGUCGCACGGUGGCGAAGGCUCGGUCCUGAUGCAUCAUGUCGGACACCUGAGCUGGCAAGUAAGUGCUGGCCGCUGUGAACAUUUUGCCCACGUAUGCAGACCAUGUGGGAGAUGCCUCCUCUUGACUAAAAAAGUGAAGUGUUUUUGUUAUUUAAGUAAUGUAAUGUCAUUUUUCAAAAAGUCAUCUGAGCGAAAGGCUUAUAGCCACAUCAAUCUGAGUUGAAAACCAAAUAUAUGGUGAUCCCCCGCGUAUUCGUGGGCCGGUAUUCACGGUUUUGCCUAUUUGUGGAUAUAUUUUUUUAACGUAUCCUCCAUUAUUCACUGAAAAACUCACCUAUUCUUAAUUUUGUACUCAUUGCAAUAACAGUAUUGCUUUGGCGUCAUCAGGUGGCAUCUUGGUGCCAAGGAAGCAAUUUGAAGUGAGUUGAGGAGCUUCAUUUAGACAAAAGUAGUUAUUUCCCGCUAUCUUCUGGGAACUAUAGGCAAAUUAUUUUAGUAGGGUUGCAAUUACUUACGGAUUUUCACUACCGUAAACCCCCACUGUAUCACAGUUCAGUUUUCGCAGUCCCGGUGUUUCACUUUUUGUGUGUGUUAUUACAGCUGUUACUCUAUUUUUUAUAAUGUUUGUAAAAUAUUUUUGUGUUAUCCAUUGCUCUUGCUCUCUCUAAAUAUAUUUGUAUUGUUUUAAAAGUGUAUUUAAGGAGCUAAAAAAAAAAAAUUAAGCACCACAGGGCUUGGUCCCUAGCCCCCAAGAAUAGUAAGGAUUUACUGUACUUUACAAACAGAUAUUGCAACAAAAGGUUUGCAAUAUUCUCUUGGAGUUGUGAUUUUGUGUUGUUGUUUUGUUUGUUUUUUUGUUUUGUUACCUGGGACUGUGCUGCUCCAGCUUGAAGAUAUGUACUGUCUCAGUGUUGCUGGAUGCACAUAGGAACUGGGCAUCGGCACUGAAGGACAGUGAACUAAUACUAACAUAUCUGAGAACAAGGAGAAAUUAUUUGACAUAAAAGAAAACAAUUGCACAACAUAAAACAAACAGUAUUAACAUAUUGAUCUUUUGGUUUGUCUCUAGAAUGCCCGGAUUGUACGCAAGUCCACUUCUAAUACUCCUGUUUUGUUCUGUAAAUGUGUGUUUGUCUAUAUGUAUCGCCUGGCAACCAGUCAGGUGUUCCUAACCUCUAGCCCCGCAACUCUAAGAACAAGUGCUAUGCAAAAUGGAUGGCUAUGCAAAUGGGUCCAAAUGUUUUCACUGUUUUUAGCUUGAAUCGCCACUACAAAUAUUUAUCAAUAGCCAAUAUAUUGGUUAUACCACUGUCAAUAUAUUGCUGUAUCCCAAGAAGAACUAUCACCAUCUAUCACAGUAUCGCUAUAGUGUCCCGCCCCUUUCCUCAACCAAUGGCUGCUAAAUGGCCGGCCUCGAGUACUUUCCCCAGCUGACCACUAAAUGUCAGCUGUUCGUCACGCUACCCUUUAUAUCCUUCACACUUCUACGACAGAACAUUUGCGCUGUGAAUUGCAUGAGGAGGAAGGGCCCACUCAAUGUGGUGUAUUUGACACCGGCCACAACAUUGGGGACGCCUGAACUUUUUUUUCUUUUUUUUUUUAUCAGACGUUUGUAUACUUUACAGAUUUUGUUUAUACAGUUUAUAUGGGCAGCAUGGUGCAAGAGUGGUUAGCACAUCUGCCUCACAGUUCUAAGGUUCUGGGUUUGAAUUUCAGUUCCAGGCUUUUCUACGUGGUGCUUGCAUUUCUCCCUGUGCUUGUUUUUGUCGACGUACUCUGGCUUCCUCCCACAUUCCAAAAACAUGUUAGGUUCAUAGUACAGAAAAUGGACAGGUGGAUGCAUGCAGAGAUUAAAUUCAGGCUAAAGACAGUAACCCAAAAAAAUCAAACACCUCAUUAUGAUGCAGUUCAGUUAUACUUUCCUGAAAAUAUGUCAUACUGUUCAUUUAAAACAAUUUUCAAUUUUUCCCAUCAUAGCUGACACUGGGUGACAGCCAAUCAUAGGGCACAUAGUAUAUCGACAAACAACCAUUCACGCUCACUUUCACACCAGUGGACAAUUUAGGGUCUUCAUGCAUGUUUUUGAACGUGGGAGGAAGCCGGAGUACUCGCUGAAAAGCCACGCAAGCAAGGGGGAGAACAUGCAAACUCUAUAACACGGUGCACCUAUAUUGUUGUAACAUGGGCCACUCGGUCUGGGGACGACAGAUGUCAUCGGUAAUUUAGUUAAUAAAGCCUUUUUAUAGAAAGAA